rnacentral:rRNA from 1 species
AACGAACGCUGGCGGCAGGCUUAACACAUGCAAGUCGAGCGCCCCGCAAGGGGAGCGGCAGACGGGUGAGUAACGCGUGGGAAUCUACCCAUCUCUACGGAAUAACGCAUGGAAACGUGUGCUAAUACCGUAUACGUCCUACGGGAGAAAGAUUUAUCGGAGAUGGAUGAGCCCGCGUUGGAUUAGCUAGUUGGUGGGGUAAAGGCCUACCAAGGCGACGAUCCAUAGCUGGUCUGAGAGGAUGAUCAGCCACACUGGGACUGAGACACGGCCCAGACUCGUACGGGAGGCAGCAGUGGGGAAUAUUGGACAAUGGGCGCAAGCCUGAUCCAGCCAUGCCGCGUGAGUGAUGAAGGCCCUAGGGUUGUAAAGCUCUUUCACCGGUGAAGAUAAUGACGGUAACCGGAGAAGAGGCCCCGGCUAACUUCGUGCCAGCCGCCGCAGUAACAC